AAUGAACGCUGGCGGCAUGCCUUACACAUGCAAGUCGAACGGCAGCAUGACCUAGCUUGCUAGGUUGAUGGCGAGUGGCGAACGGGUGAGUAAUGCAUCGGAACGUGCCUUUUAGUGGGGGAUAACGUAGCGAAAGUUACGCUAAUACCGCAUAUUCUCUGAGGAGGAAAGCAGGGGACCUUCGGGCCUUGCGCUAGAAGAGCGGCCGAUGUCGGAUUAGCUAGUUGGUGAGGUAAAGGCUCACCAAGGCAACGAUCCGUAGCGGGUCUGAGAGGAUGAUCCGCCACACUGGGACUGAGACACGGCCCAGACUCCUACGGGAGGUAGCAGUGGGGAAUUUUGGACAAUGGGCGCAAGCCUGAUCCAGCCAUGCCGCGUGAGUGAAGAAGGCCUUCGGGUUGUAAAGCUCUUUCGGCUGGGAAGAAAUCGCACCCUCUAAUACAGGGUGUGGAUGACGGUACCAGCAUAAGAAGCACCGGCUAACUACGUG
rnacentral:rRNA from 1 species